rnacentral:rRNA from 1 species
GACGAACGCUGGCGGCGUGCUUAACACAUGCAAGUCGAACGGAAAGGCCCUGCUUUUGUGGGGUGCUCGAGUGGCGAACGGGUGAGUAACACGUGAGUAACCUGCCCUUGACUUUGGGAUAACUUCAGGAAACUGGGGCUAAUACCGGAUAGGAGCUCCUGCUGCAUGGUGGGGGUUGGAAAGUCUCGGCGGUUGGGGAUGGACUGGCGGGUUAUCAGCUUGUUGGUGGGGUAGUGGCUUACCAAGGCUUUGACGGGUAGCCGGCCUGAGAGGGUGACCGGCCACAUUGGGACUGAGAUACGGCCCAGACUGCUACGGGAGGCAGCAGGGGGGAAUAUUGCACAAUGGGCGGAAGCCUGAUGCAGCAACGCCGCGUGCGGGAUGACGGCCUUCGGGGUGUAAACCGCUUUCGCCUGUGACGAAGCGUGAGUGACGGUAAUGGGUAAAGAAGCACCGGCUAACUACGUG